rnacentral:rRNA from 1 species
UACGGAGGGUGCAAGCGUUGUUCGGAAUUAUUGGGCGUAAAGCGCGUGUAGGCGGCUUUGCAAGUCGGGGUGUGAAAGCCCCCGGCUCAACUGGGGAGGGUCAUUCGAUACUGAUCGACUCGAAGGCAGGAGAGGGUAGUGGAAUUCCCGGUGUAGUGGUGAAAUGCGUAGAUAUCGGGAGGAACACCAGUGGCGAAGGCGACUACCUGGCCUGUUCUUGACGCUGAGGCGCGAAAAGCUAGGGGAGCAAACGGGG